UACGGAGGGGGCUAGCGUUGUUCGGAAUUACUGGGCGUAAAGCGCACGUAGGCGGCUUUGUAAGUUAGAGGUGAAAGCCCGGGGCUCAACUCCGGAACUGCCUUUAAGACUGCAUCGCUAGAAUUGUGGAGAGGUAAGUGGAAUUCCGAGUGUAGAGGUGAAAUUCGUAGAUAUUCGGAAGAACACCAGUGGCGAAGGCGACUUACUGGACACAUAUUGACGCGUGAGGUGCGAAAGCGUGGGGAGCAAACAGGAUUAAGAAACCC
rnacentral:rRNA from 1 species